CAUCCAUGAUUUGACCAUAGAGACUGGUAAGGUUGUUUUGGCCUCCCGUGAGCUAUAGCACAAGUUUUCAUGGUCGAGCGACCAUUUUUAUGUCCGUGUUCCUCCACACGUGUUUUUGUCCCCGGAGCACCUUAAAGCGGUUCUUGGCCUCCCGCGAGCUAUAUCACACAUUUCCGUGGCCAAACAGCCAGUUUUAUGUAUCCGACCUGCCACCUUCGUUUUAGACCGGGGAGGCCGUUAUGGCAUUUUUUUGCCACCCGUGAGCUAUAGCACACGAUUUUAUGGAAACCUAGACCCUAAUCCUAUCCCUAAACCCUAACUAAACAUCGACACUAAAGGAUUUUAGUGUUGAAAGCAUGGUAAAAUGAAAUUUGAGUCUCCCAACCUUAUCAACUUUGCUGACAUAGUAGAAUUUUAGUGUCCAAACCAUAGUACACGUUUUGGUCCCGGAGGCCGGUAAGGCUAUUUUUGGCCUCCCGUGACACAUGUUUUCAUCGUCAAACGAGAUUUCAUGCCUCCCGUCCCCACCCAUGAUUUGGCCACUGAGACUGCUAAGGCUGUUUAUGGCCUCCCGUAGGCUAUGGCACACGUUUUCAUGGUCGAGCGACCAUUUUUAAGUACGUGUUCCACCACCCGCUUUUGGUCCCAGAGCACCUUAAAAUGUCCUUGGCCUCCCACGAGCUGUAGCACACGUUUCCGUGGCCAAAGAGCCAAUUUCAUGUAUCCGACCUGCCACCUACGUUUUAGACCGGAGAGGCCGUUACACAUUUUUUGCCACAAGUGAGCUAUAGCACAGUUUUUAUGGUAACCUAGACCCCAAAUCCAAUCCCUAAACCCUAACCUUAAACACCGACACUAAAAGGUUUUAGUGUCCAAACCAUAGUAAAAUGAAGUUUGAGUCUCCAAACCAUAGUAAGCUUGCAGGCAUGGUAGAAUUUUAGUGUCCAAACCAUAGUACACGUUUUAGUCCCCGGCAGCCCGUAAGGCUAUUUUGGCCUCCCGUGACACAUGUUUUUGUCGUCGAACAUCGAUUUCGUGCCUCCCGACCGCCACCAUAUUUGACCAUAGAGACUGGUAAGGUUGUUUUGGCCUCCUGUGAGCUAUAGCACACGUUUUUAUGGCCGAGCGACCAUUUUUAUGUCCGUGUUCCUCCACACGUGUUUUUGUCCCCGGAGCACCUUAAAGCGGUUCUUGGCCUCCAGCGAGCUAUAUCACACAUUUCCGUGGCCAAACAGCCAGUUUUAUGUAUCCGACCUGCCACCUUCGUUUUAGACCGGGGAGGCCGUUAUGGCAAUUUUUUUGCCACCCGUGAGCUAUAGCACACGAUUUUAUGGAAACCUAGACCCUAAACCCUAUCCCUAAACCCUAAACCUAAACAUCGACACUAAAGGAUUUUAGUGUUGAAAGCAUGGUAAAAUGAAAUUUGAGUCUCCCAACCUUAUCAACUUUGCUGACAUAGUAGAAUUUUAGUGUCCAAACCAUAGUACACGUUUUGGUCCCCGGAGGCCGGUAAGGCUAUUUUUGGCCUCCCGUGACACAUGUUUUCAUCGUCAAACGACGAUUUCAUGCCUCCCGUCCGCCACCCAUGAUUUGGCCACUGAGACUGCUAAGGCUGUUUAUGGCCUCCCGUAGGCUAUGGCACACGUUUUCAUGGUCGAGCGACCAUUUUUAAGUACGUGUUCCACCACUCGCUUUUUGGUCCCAAGAGCACCUUAAAGUGGUCCUUGGCCUCCCACGAGCUGUAGCACACGUUUCCGUGGCCAAAGAGCCAAUUUCAUGUAUCCGACCUGCCACCUACGUUUUAGACCGGAGAGGCCGUUACGACAUUUUUUGCCACAAGUGAGCUAUAGCACACGUUUUUAUGGUAACCUAGACCCCAAAUCCAAUCCCUAAACCCUAACCUUAAACACCGACACUAAAAGGUUUUAGUGUCCAAACCAUAGUAAAAUGAAGUUUGAGUCUCCAAACCAUAGUAAGCUUGCAGGCAUGGUAGAAUUUUAGUGUCCAAACCAUAGUACACGUUUUAGUCCCCGGCAGCCCGUAAGGCUAUUUUGGCCUCCCGUGACACAUGUUUUUGUCGUCGAACAUCGAUUUCGUGCCUCCCGACCGCCACCCAUGAUUUGACCAUAGAGACUGGUAAGGUUGUUUUGGCCUCCCGUGAGCUAUAGCACACGUUUUCAUGGCCGAGCGACCAUUUUUAUGUCCGUGUUCCUCCACACGUGUUUUUGUCCCGGAGCACCUUAAAGCGGUUCUUGGCCUCCGCGAGCUAUAUCACACAUUUCCGUGGCCAAACAGCCAGUUUUAUGUAUCCGACCUGCCACCUUCGUUUUAGACCGGGGAGGCCGUUAUGGCAAUUUUUUUGCCACCCGUGAGCUAUAGCACACGAUUUUAUGGAAACCUAGACCCUAAUCCUAUCCCUAAACCUAAACCUAAACAUCGACACUAAAGGAUUUUAGUGUUGAAAGCAUGGUAAAAUGAAAUUUGAGUCUCCCAACCUUAUCAACUUUGCUGACAUAGUAGAAUUUUAGUGUCCAAACCAUAGUACACGUUUUGGUCCCCGGAGGCCGGUAAGGCUAUUUUUGGCCUCCCGUGACACAUGUUUUCAUCGUCAAACGACGAUUUCAUGCCUCCCGUCCGCCACCCAUGAUUUGGCCACUGAGACUGCUAAGGCUGUUUAUGGCCUCCGUAGGCUAUGGCACACGUUUUCAUGGUCGAGCGACCAUUUUUAAGUACGUGUUCCACCACCCGCGUUUUGGUCCCAGAGCACCUUAAAAUUGUCCUUGGCCUCCCACGAGCUGUAGCACACGUUUCCGUGGCCAAAGAGCCAAUUUCAUGUAUCCGACCUGCCACUACGUUUUAGACGGAGGCCGUUACGACAUUUUUUGCCACAAGUGAGCUAUAGCACACGUUUUUAUGGAACCUAGACCCCAAAUCCAAUCCCUAAACCCUAACCUUAAACACCGACACUAAAAGGUUUUAGUGUCCAAACCAUAGUAAAAUGAAGUUUGAGUCUCCAAACCAUAGUAAGCUUGCAGGCAUGGUAGAAUUUUAGUGUCCAAACCAUAGUACACGUUUUAGUCCCCGGCAGCCCGUAAGGCUAUUUUGGCCUCCCGUGACACAUGUUUUUGUCGUCGAACAGCGAUUUCGUGCCUCCCGACCGCCACCCAUGAUUUGACCAUAGAGACUGGUAAGGUUGUUUUGGCCUCCCGUGAGCUAUAGCACACGUUUUCAUGGCCGAGCGACCAUUUUUAUGUCCGUGUUCCUCCACACGUGUUUUUGUCCCCGGAGCACCUUAAAGCGGUUCUUGGCCUCCCGCGAGCUAUAUCACACAUUUCCGUGGCCAAACAGCCAGUUUUAUGUAUCCGACCUGCCACCUUCGUUUUAGACCGGGGAGGCCGUUAUGGCAAUUUUUUUGCCACCCGUGAGCUAUAGCACACGAUUUUAUGGAAACCUAGACCCUAAUCCUAUCCCUAAACCUAAACAUCGACACUAAAGGAUUUUAGUGUUGAAAGCAUGGUAAAAUGAAAUUUGAGUCUCCCAACCUUAUCAACUUUGCUGACAUAGUAGAAUUUUAGUGUCCAAACCAUAGUACACGUUUUGGUCCCCGGAGGCCGGUAAGGCUAUUUUUGGCCUCCCGUGACACAUGUUUUCAUCGUCAAACGACGAUUUCAUGCCUCCCGUCCGCCACCCAUGAUUUGGCCACUGAGACAGCUAAGGCUGUUUAUGGCCUCCCGUAGGCUAUGGCACACGUUUUCAUGGUCGAGCGACCAUUUUUAAGUACGUGUUCCACCACCCGCGUUUUGGUCCCCAGAGCACCUUAAAAUUGUCCUUGGCCUCCCACGAGCUGUAGCACACGUUUCCGUGGCCAAAGAGCCAAUUUCAUGUAUCCGACCUGCCACCUACGUUUUAGACCGGAGAGGCCGUUACGACAUUUUUUGCCACAAGUGAGCUAUAGCACACGUUUUUAUGGCAACCUAGACCCCAAAUCCAAUCCCUAAACCCUAACCUUAAACACCGACACUAAAAGGUUUUAGUGUCCAAACCAUAGUAAAAUGAAGUUUGAGUCUCCAAACCAUAGUAAGCUUGCAGGCAUGGUAGAAUUUUAGUGUCCAAACCAUAGUACACGUUUUAGUCCCCGGCAGCCCGUAAGGCUAUUUUGGCCUCCCGUGACACAUGUUUUUGUCGUCGAACAGCGAUUUCGUGCCUCCCGACCGCCACCCAUGAUUUGACCAUAGAGACUGGUAAGGUUGUUUUGGCCUCCCGUGAGCUAUAGCACACGUUUUCAUGGCCGAGCGACCAUUUUUAUGUCCGUGUUCCUCCACACGUGUUUUUGUCCCCGGAGCACCUUAAAGCGGUUCUUGGCCUCCCGCGAGCUAUAUCACACAUUUCCGUGGCCAAACAGCCAGUUUUAUGUAUCCGACCUGCCACCUUCGUUUUAGACCGGGGAGGCCGUUAUGGCAAUUUUUUUGCCACCCGUGAGCUAUAGCACACGAUUUUAUGGAAACCUAGACCCUAAUCCUAUCCCUAAACCUAAACCUAACAUCGACACUAAAGGAUUUUAGUGUUGAAAGCAUGGUAAAAUGAAAUUUGAGUCUCCCAACCUUAUCAACUUUGCUGACAUAGUAGAAUUUUAGUGUCCAAACCAUAGUACACGUUUUGGUCCCCGGAGGCCGGUAAGGCUAUUUUUGGCCUCCCGUGACACAUGUUUUCAUCGUCAAACGACGAUUUCAUGCCUCCCGUCCGCCACCCAUGAUUUGGCCACUGAGACUGCUAAGGCUGUUUAUGGCCUCCGUAGGCUAUGGCACACGUUUUCAUGGUCGAGCGACCAUUUUUAAGUACGUGUUCCACCACCCGCGUUUUGGUCCCAGAGCACCUUAAAUUGUCCUUGGCCUCCCACGAGCUGUAGCACACGUUUCCGUGGCCAAAGAGCCAAUUUCAUGUAUCCGACCUGCCACCUACGUUUUAGACCGGAGAGGCCGUUACGACAUUUUUUGCCACAAGUGAGCUAUAGCACACGUUUUUAUGGUAACCUAGACCCCAAAUCCAAUCCCUAAACCCUAACCUUAAACACCGACACUAAAAGGUUUUAGUGUCCAAACCAU
rnacentral:lncRNA from 1 species